UGUUUAAUUUUAUUAUUAAAUAAAACCUGCUCAAUGAAAAUUAAAUAGCCGCAGAAUUUUAACUGUGCUAAGGUAGCAUAAUCAUUAGAUUUUUAAUUAAAAUCUAGAAUGAAAGGUUUAACUUUUAUUUACUUUAUUAAAUUCACUUAAUUUAAAUUAUAUUAAAAAUAAAAAUAUUUUUAUAAUUUAAAAGACGACAAGACCCUAUUGAACUUAACUUUAGUUAAGCUGGGGCAGCUAAUUAAAAAUAAUUUUAAUUUAAUUAUUUAUAUAAAUACCUAAUAUUAUUAAAUAAAUAAGUUACCAUAGGGAUAACAGCGUAA
rnacentral:rRNA from 1 species